AAAACCGAGAAGGCUAAGAGACAACCUAAACGAUGAUGCUGUCUCUUCCGCUAGCGAAAACGGAUCACCUGCGUCUCCCUCCCCGAAAUCCCCGCUGCAUCUUCUCCCUCCGCGCGCCUCACCUCCCCGCCAAAUCUGCUCGCGCGCCGCACCUACCCGCCAAAUCUGCCAUCCCACGCCUGCUGCUGACGAAGGCCACGGCGACGAAGCUAUUCUCUGCAUCGUAGAAGACCCCUGCAGCAAGAUGAACCGGUCCAAGCGAGAAGUAGCGCCGCCGCUGCCGCCGACGAUGACGCCGCCGCUCCCGACGAUGCUGCCGCUGACGACGACCCCGCCGCCGCCGACGACGACAACGACGCUGCCGCCACCGCCGAAUGGAUUUGUGGCAGGUCCGGGUAGCGCCAUGGCUCUACCUCCUGGAGCUCAAUCAGUAAGGGGCAGGUGUUAGCGUUGGUUAUUCUGUGAGACUGUCAUAUGCUGCUCAGGAAGUCAACAUAUUGUUCAACUUUUGGUGAUUUUCGUUCCAGAUUGUUGUCUUGCUCUAGGUGGUCUUAUUCAAGGAAUGAAUAAGCACUUGUGGCUACCCUCCAGGUAGCCUCUUGCCACUUUUGUUUGAGGAAUGCAAUUAGCACUUGUAUCUAUGGGUGUUAUCCAGUGUUUGUCCAUCUCGCCUAUGUUUUUUAUGACCAUGAUAUUCCUAUUUCCUGUAGUACAAUGAAAUUUAGCAGUUGGUGGAAUUGUUCUUUGAUGUGGUGCUAUGAUGAGAACUGGAGUGAAUGAUUCAUGUUAUUCAAGCUGAUUUGAGUUGUCUAUUUUUCAUAUCGUGUAU